CCGGGACCCGGCGGCCAGGCCCGGCUGGUGCUUCUCUGGGCGCCGCUGAAAGCCCAGCUCCGCAGGAGCUACAGGCGUGAGACCCACCGGGACCCGCGAGCGGGAUCAGGGCUGGGGGAUUAGCAGAGCCGCUUGCGAGGCUGACCCUCUCCAGGAUGCCCCAUGUAAACCUGGAUCAUUCCUUCCUUCUGAGUACGGGGCAGGACUCUCUCUGGGAUGGAGGGGUCUUAGGACCUGCAAGCAAACAAGACUCAGCCCACCUGCACUGAGGUGAAAUAAACAGCUUUAUUGCUCACACAAAGCCUGUUGGUGGACUCUCUUCACAUUGAUGCGCGUGACAUUUUGUGCUGUGACUUGGAUUGGGGGCCCUUCCUUGGGAGAUCAAUCCCCUGUCCUCCUGCUCUUUGCUCCAGGAGAAAGAUCCACCACGACCUUGGGUCUUCGGACCAACCAGCCCAAGGAACAUCUCACCAAUUUUAAAUCGGACAGGAAUGUCAGGCCUCUGAGCCCAAGCGAAG
rnacentral:lncRNA from 1 species